UACGUAGGGUGCUAGCGUUGUUCGGAAUCAUUGGGCGUAAAGCGCUUGUAGGUGGUUAGGCAAGUCUGGUGUGAAAUCCCUGGGCUCAACCGAGGAAGUGCAUGGGAAACUACCUAGCUAGAAGAUGGUAGAGGAAGGUGGAAUUCCUAGUGUAGAGGUGAAAUUCGUAGAUAUUAGGAGGAAUACCGGUAGCGAAGGCGGCCUUCUGGACCAUUCUUGACACUGAGACGCGAAAGCGUGGGUAGCAAACAGG
rnacentral:rRNA from 1 species